UGGCGACCGGCGCACGGGUGAGUAACACGUAUCCAACCUGCCGAUGACUCGGGGAUAGCCUUUCGAAAGAAAGAUUAAUACCCGAUGGCAUAGUUCUUCCGCAUGGUGGAACUAUUAAAGAAUUUCGGUCAUCGAUGGGGAUGCGUUCCAUUAGGUUGUUGGCGGGGGUAACGGGCCCACCAAGCCUUCGAUGGAUAGGGGUUCUGAGAGGAAGGUCCCCCACAUUGGAACUGAGACACGGUCCAAACUCCUACGGGAGGCAGCAUG
rnacentral:rRNA from 1 species